rnacentral:rRNA from 1 species
UUCGUAGGCGGUGCGGCUAGUCGGAAGUGAAAUCUCUGGGCUUAACUCAGAGGCUGCUUCCGAAACUGCCGUGCUCGAGUGCGGGAGAGGCGAGUGGAAUUGCAGGUGUAGCGGUGAAAUGCGUAGAUAUCUGCAGGAACACCCGUGGCGAAGGCGGCUCGCUGGACCGCAACUGACGCUGAGGAACGAAAGCUAGGGGAGCAAACAGGAUUAGAUACCCUGGUACGUCCUAGCCCUAAACCAUCAGGACUUGGGGUGUUCCGCGUACGCGGAUCGUCCCGGAGCUACGCGUUAAGUCCUGCGCCGUGGGGAGUACGGUCGCAAGGCUGAA